rnacentral:tRNA from 1 species
GGGGGUAUAGCUCACGGGUAGAGCAUUUGACUGCAGAUCAAGAGGUCCCUGGUUCAAUCCAGGUGCCCCCU